rnacentral:lncRNA from 1 species
CUCAUGUGGAAGUCCCCCGGGCUCCCUGCUGGGCCCCCAUGCCAUCCAGCUGGGGGGGCUCAGGCCUCCACACCCUUCACUCACGGCCAUUCCCAAAGUGGAACACCAGCACCAGGAGAGAAGGAUUUGGUGGCCAGGACGGCUGCCCAUGCGGAGCACAAACCAAGAACUCCAGCCUGGACCUACGGGCAGAGGAAUCAACCAUCACAGGAGGGAGCCAGGACCCCAGCCCAGGAGACAAGGAGAGAGGCACCAGGCAGGUGGUGGCAGAUUUCGGGGCAAACGUCUCUAUACAGGCAGGCGUGGAAUGGCACGGAAGGAACUGACAUCGUCUGGAGCCAGCCUGGGAGGGCUCCCAAAUACAGAGCUCUGUUGCCAUGGGCGUUUUGUCAAUGGCAGAUGAAUGACCCCCGGCACGCCAAACUUGUGCAUACGGUCAGGUCCACAUGGCCAUUGUCCUCUGGCCACAGCUGGCAGUGCAGGGUGGGCACCUCGUCUGACUGCAGGUUUUGUUUGGUUUUCCUUUUGGAAAUGGCUCUUGGAAGCUGAAUUUGGUAUGUCCAUGAAUUUGGCCUGUGAGGGGCUGAAAGGCAUCGAGAGUUGCCUUUGGUGGCCCACGUACCAGCAGAUAAAGCCGAUCUCUAGAGGGAAGAGAGAGAGUGGGGAGAAGCAGAGAUGGGAGACCAGGAGACAGCGCGAAAAGAGUGAAAGGGGGGUGGUGAGGGAAAGGGAGAGGCAAAGCUAUAGAGACACAGGGUUUCUGUUUUCCGGACCAGGCCCCAAGAUUUUCAGCUAAACUUUGUUUUCUUUCUGCCCUGAAAUGUCCAGUUGUAUCUUCUUCACGGUGAGCUCUUCCUCCAAUCGUGACCUCACCCCUUUGCUCCUGUUUGUUUGAGCUAAUCAGGAAGGAUGCUGCUUUUCAUGGCCAUCGUGUUCUGGAGUAUCCAAGCUAGCGUUCCCAGUUGAUGGUUUUAUUUUUUUUUUAAUUUUUUUAACGUUUUUUAUUUAUUUUUGAGACAGAGAGAGACAGAGCAUGAACGGGGGAGGGGCAGAGAAAGAGGGAGACAGAAUCGGAAGCAGGCUCCAGGCUCUGAGCCAUCAGCCCAGAGCCUGACACGGGGCCCGAACUCACGGACUGCGAGAUCGUGACCUGAGCUGAAGUCAGACGCUCGACCGACUGAGCCACCCAGGCGCCCCAUCAGUUGAUGGUUUUAGGAGCCGAGGCUCAGAGAUCGCCGCACCAAUGGCCCAGCG